GACGAACGCUGGCGGCGUGCUUAACACAUGCAAGUCGAGCGGAAAGGCCCUUCGGGGUACUCGAGCGGCGAACGGGUGAGUAACACGUGAGUAACCUGCCCUAGGCUUUAGGAUAACCCUCGGAAACGGGGGCUAAUACCGAAUAUUCAUGUUGUGUGGCAUCACAUGGUGUGGAAAGUUUUUCGGCCUGGGAUGGGCUCGCGGCCUAUCAGCUUGUUGGUGGGGUGAUGGCCUACCAAGGCGACGACGGGUAGCCGGCCUGAGAGGGCGACCGGCCACACUGGGACUGAGACACGGCCCAGACUCCUACGGGAGGCAGCAGUGGGGAAUAUUGCACAAUGGGCGGAAGCCUGAUGCAGCGACGCCGCGUGAGGGAUGAAGGCCUUCGGGUUGUAAACCUCUUUCGACAGGGACGAAGCGCAAGUGACGGUACCUGGAGAAGAAGCGCCGGCCAACUACGUGCCAGCGGCCGCGGUAAGACGUAGGGCGCGAGCGUUGUCCGGAUUUAUUGGGCGUAAAGAGCUCGUAGGCGGCUUGUUGCGUCAGCUGUGAAAACCCGCAGCUCAACUGUGGGCUUGCAGCUGAUACGGGCAGGCUUGAGUUCGGUAGGGGAGACUGGAAUUCCUGGUGUAGCGGUGAAAUGCGCAGAUAUCAGGAGGAACACCGGUGGCGAAGGCGGGUCUCUGGGCCGAUACUGACGCUGAGGAGCGAAAGCGUGGGGAGCGAACAGGAUUAGAUACCCUGGUAGUCCACGCUGUAAACGUUGGGCGCUAGGUGUGGGGG
rnacentral:rRNA from 1 species